rfam:Plicaturopsis crispa FD-325 SS-3 unplaced genomic scaffold PLICRscaffold_6, whole genome shotgun sequence.
GGUGAGAUGGCCGAGCGGUCUAAGGCGCCAGACUAAGGAUCAACAUCAAUUGUGAUGUUCAAUUAACGGAGCGGGAUUCGAACCCAUGCGUUAUCUGGUCUUUCGAGGCGUGGGUUCGAAUCCCACUCUCAUCA